rnacentral:rRNA from 2 species
AGAGUUUGAUCAUGGCUCAGAUUGAACGCUGGCGGCAGGCCUAACACAUGCAAGUCGAACGGUAACAGGAAGCAGCUUGCUGCUUCGCUGACGAGUGGCGGACGGGUGAGUAAUGUCUGGGAAACUGCCUGAUGGAGGGGGAUAACUACUGGAAACGGUGGCUAAUACCGCAUAACGUCGCAAGACCAAAGAGGGGGACCUUCGGGCCUCUUGCCAUCAGAUGUGCCCAGAUGGGAUUAGCUUGUUGGUGAGGUAACGGCUCACCAAGGCGACGAUCCCUAGCUGGUCUGAGAGGAUGACCAGCCACACUGGAACUGAGACACGGUCCAGACUCCUACGGGAGGCAGCAGUGGGGAAUAUUGCACAAUGGGCGCAAGCCUGAUGCAGCCAUGCCGCGUGUAUGAAGAAGGCCUUCGGGUUGUAAAGUACUUUCAGCGGGGAGGAAGGUGUUGUGGUUAAUAACCGCAGCAAUUGACGUUACCCGCAGAAGAAGCACCGGCUAACUCCGUGCCAGCAGCCGCGGUAAUACGGAGGGUGCAAGCGUUAAUCGGAAUUACUGGGCGUAAAGCGCACGCAGGCGGUCUGUCAAGUCGGAUGUGAAAUCCCCGGGCUCAACCUGGGAACUGCAUUCGAAACUGGCAGGCUUGAGUCUUGUAGAGGGGGGUAGAAUUCCAGGUGUAGCGGUGAAAUGCGUAGAGAUCUGGAGGAAUACCGGUGGCGAAGGCGGCCCCCUGGACAAAGACUGACGCUCAGGUGCGAAAGCGUGGGGAGCAAACAGGAUUAGAUACCCUGGUAGUCCACGCCGUAAACGAUGUCUACUUGGAGGUUGUGCCCUUGAGGCGUGGCUUCCGGAGCUAACGCGUUAAGUAGACCGCCUGGGGAGUACGGCCGCAAGGUUAAAACUCAAAUGAAUUGACGGGGGCCCGCACAAGCGGUGGAGCAUGUGGUUUAAUUCGAUGCAACGCGAAGAACCUUACCUGGUCUUGACAUCCACAGAAGAAUCCAGAGAUGGAUUUGUGCCUUCGGGAACUGUGAGACAGGUGCUGCAUGGCUGUCGUCAGCUCGUGUUGUGAAAUGUUGGGUUAAGUCCCGCAACGAGCGCAACCCUUAUCCUUUGUUGCCAGCGGUCCGGCCGGGAACUCAAAGGAGACUGCCAGUGAUAAACUGGAGGAAGGUGGGGAUGACGUCAAGUCAUCAUGGCCCUUACGACCAGGGCUACACACGUGCUACAAUGGCGCAUACAAAGAGAAGCGACCUCGCGAGAGCAAGCGGACCUCAUAAAGUGCGUCGUAGUCCGGAUUGGAGUCUGCAACUCGACUCCAUGAAGUCGGAAUCGCUAGUAAUCGUGGAUCAGAAUGCCACGGUGAAUACGUUCCCGGGCCUUGUACACACCGCCCGUCACACCAUGGGAGUGGGUUGCAAAAGAAGUAGGUAGCUUAACCUUCGGGAGGGCGCUUACCACUUUGUGAUUCAUGACUGGGGUGAAGUCGUAACAAGGUAACCGUAGGGGAACCUGCGGUUG